rnacentral:lncRNA from 1 species
CACCCACGGAGUUGCCAGCAAGAUGCUGGUCGCCCCUGACCCGGGUCCCCCUCCUGAGAGGUUCCCAAAGGGACCCUUUUGCUCAGGACAUUGUUAGGACAGCAUGAUCAGUCACAAGGGACGACCCUCCUCGGGGAGGGCAGCACUCCAGUUCACUAGCAGAUGAACACGAGCACAGAUGUACAGGAAAGGGCUCAGACUCAAGACACAAGCAGAGCAAAGGUCAAGGGCCAUGGCCAGUGCCCCCUCACUAGGGCACUGGUUCAAGGUUUGAACCCCAGAGAAACUAGCUGGCCACUGAUGAUCCUCUUUGUCGCUUGUCCCUCGCUGUCCUGAUCCCAGGGGGGUCCACAAGGAGUUGCUCUGUAUGGUAGUGGGUUCCUGGAAUCCAGAGAGCCAGGUAAGAGAUUCUUCUGUGGGCGCCCCGGGUUUCUGGAAGAGCUGCAGCCAAGGCCAGCAGAGCCGAGGCGAGCUCUAUUCCAGCUCUUCG